UUGCUUUGGCAGCACCUAUACUAUAACAGGAACAGAGAAGAUUAGCAUGGUCCCUGUGCAAGGAUGACACAUAAAUUGGUAAAGUGUUCCAUAUUAAA
ensembl:snRNA U6 U6 spliceosomal RNA